AAAGAGAGAGCCGGGCAGAAGGAGGUAAGUUUAAGGGGAGAGAGAGAGGGAGAGAAAGAGAGAGCCGGGCAGAAGGAGAUAAGUUUAAGGGGAGAGAGAGAGGGAGUAAAAGAGAGAGCCGGGCAGAAGGAGAUAAGUUUAAGGGGAGAGAGAGAGGGAGUAAAAGAGAGAGCCGGGCAGAAGGAGAUAAGUUUAAGGGGAGAGAGAGAGGGAGUAAAAGAGAGAGCCGGGCAGAAGGAGAUAAGUUUAAGGGGAGAGAGAGAGGGAGUAAAAGAGAGAGCCGGGCAGAAGGAGAUAAGUUUAAGGGGAGAGAGAGAGGGAGUAAAAGAGAGAGCCGGGCAGAAGGAGAUAAGUUUAAGGGGAGAGAGAGAGGGAGUAAAAGAGAGAGCCGGGCAGAAGGAGGUAAGUUUAAGGGGAGAGAGAGAGAGCAGCCAUAUCCACUCCUCCUUGACAUUCUCCCUGGCUUUAAAGACCUUUGAGUCCAGAGGAUUCUGUCCCUCUGACAGGGUUUAGGAGGAUUUGAUGAUACACAUCUCAUACUGCAGCUCUUAUAUAAUGCUGCAGUACACAAGCCGAUUCUCAUUCAUAACACAUAGGUUGCUAUACAGCAUUAAAUAUACAGCUUGUUGGUAAAUCUGCUGUAGAAUGUAUUGACUUGGGUGUAAUUGUAAGGUUCUGUAUUUAUUUGUGAGAAACAGUUUUUGCCUUCAGUCCUAGUUUUGAUUCACCUGCCUGUUUGCCUACCUGUGAAUGACCAUUGCCUACCUGUGAAUGACCAUUGCCUACCUGUGUUUGACCAUUGCCUACCUGUGAUUGACCAUUGCCUACCUGUGUUUGACCAUUGCCUACCUGUGAUUGACCAUUGCCUACCUGUGUUUGACCAUUGCCUACCUGUGAUUGACCAUUGCCUACCUGUGUUUGACCAUUGCCUACCUGUGAUUGACCAUUGCCUACCUGUGAUUGACCAUUGCCUACCUGUGAUUGACCAUUGCCUACCUGUGAUUGACCAUUGCCUACCUGUGAAUGACCAUUGCCUACCUGUGUUUGACCAUUGCCUACCU